UGGGGUCCCUUCCGACCUGGGAUCCUGUGAUUUAAUUUUACAGCUAGUGAAAUGAAAAAGCAGGACAGGAGCCUUCCCUAAGCAGUAAACACUGAGCAGCACUGUUAGGACAAAAACCAACUCCUUGGUUCAGAUCCUGUGCUACCAAAUAAUUGACCAUUUCUUUCUUGCUUCAGGCAAAUCCAAUUCUCAGCUAAUUGAAGAAACUUCUACUCCUUGCAAUGGGGUCAAAAUGAAAUUGUUUCUACAUGCAGUUGACCAGAACACUGAAGUGGAAGGCUGAGGUCUACUUACUCCUGCCGCUUUGGAUGCUCCGUCGCUGUAUUUUGAGACAGCAGCAAUGGAAAUGGCAAAGUAAAUGAUGGCAGCAGUGACACAGCGCAGGAAGUCCUGCAAAAGAGGCAGUCAUGUCCUCAGAGCUCAUUUCUUCUUCUGACAGCUGGAGUGCACAGAUUGCCUGAGCAGCACUGGACUAUCACUCGCUUUUCUGAGGGGGGCUGCUUCUUCCCAUGGGAUUACAUCCUGGACACUGAUAGCAGCCAGGAGUCGGAGUUAUUCCUGCACUGCUGUUCAAAGGUCAGUGUGAUGGUUGCCAGCUUCACUGGAGGAAGAUUUGAAUGCAGAAAGCUCUGCUGAAGCAAUGAAGAGAACAGGACCCUUCGUAGCCUGGCAGUGGUAAGGUGAUAAAAAAUCCUGGC